rnacentral:rRNA from 1 species
AGAGUUUGAUCAUGGCUCAGGAUGAACGCUAGCUACAGGCUUAACACAUGCAAGUCGAGGGGAAACGACAUCGAAAGCUUGCUUUUGAUGGGCGUCGACCGGCGCACGGGUGAGUAACGCGUAUCCAACCUGCCCACCACUCGGGGAUAACCUUGCGAAAGUAAGACUAAUACCCAAUGACGUCUCUAGAAGACAUCUGAAAGAGAUUAAAGAUUUAUCGGUGAUGGAUGGGGAUGCGUCUGAUUAGCUUGUUGGCGGGUAACGACCGCCAAGGCUACGAUCAGUAGGGGUUCUGAGAGGAAGGUCCCCCANAUUGGAACUGAGACACGGUCCAAACUCCUACGGGAGCA